UAGGGAGGCAGCAUGGGGAAUAUUGCACAAUGGGCGCAAGCCUGAUGCAGCCAUGCCGCGUGUAUGAAGAAGGCCUUCGGGUGUAAAGUACUUUCAGCAGUGAGGAAGGCAGGUACGUUAAUAGCGUGCUUGUUUGACGUUAGCUGCAGAAGAAGCACCGGCUAACUCCGUGCCAGCAGCCGCGGUAAUACGGAGGGUGCGAGCGUUAAUCGGAAUUACUGGGCGUAAAGCGCAUGCAGGUGGUUUGUUAAGUCAGAUGUGAAAGCCCGGGGCUCAACCUCGGAAUUGCAUUUGAAACUGGCAGACUAGAGUACUGUAGAGGGGGUAGAAUUUCAGGUGUAGCGGUGAAAAUGCGUAGAGAUCUGAAGGAAUACCGGUGGCGAAGGCGGCCCCCUGGACAGAUACUGACACUCAGAUGCGAAAGCGUGGGGAGCAAACAGGAUUAGAUACCCUGGUAG
rnacentral:rRNA from 1 species